GGUGCGGAGCGGGACGGGGACUCCCGUCUGUGCAAAGUUGGCAUUUAUUCCGUGCCGGGGAAGCGGCAGCAGGAGCCGGGCGCUGCCUUUGCCUGGUGGCUCUGAGCGCCGCGGUGUUGGAGCCUCAGAAAACAGGACAACAACGAGCACAACGAAUUAAACCCCGAAGCCUUUCCCGGCUCCCUGCAGGGCCCGGCCUGCGGAGGGGGAACGGGCCCCGGCCAGGCCGGGAGGGGCGGCGGGGCGGGGGCGGUCGCCCCCAGGGCAGCGGUGCUGGCGAGAGAACGAGGAAAACGCGGCAUGGUUCGUCUCCUGCCUCCCAGAGCUCGAAAGGAAACCCCUCUCCGACUCCGCAGCAGAACUCUCGGGACCUGAGUCCCUAAGGGAGCAAUGUCCUUGGUGACCACUGUCCAUCCGCCUGGACACGAACUGUGCCCCGCCCGCAGCCCGCGGGGCCGGGAUUGGAAUCGGGAGCGGGAGUGGGAUCGGGAGCGGGACCGCCCGGGGCUGCUCUGCCGUCCUGUCGGGGGGUACGAGGAAGAAGGGGGACGAUCUCUGCCGUGAGAUGACAAAUUCAAUGUCGCACCUCCCCCUCCUUGGACUCGGGAAGGCUCCGCAUCGCACCCGCCUCUCGCUCGCACAUCCCGGGAAGCGGCCCCGGAGGGUUCCCAGAGGAGCCCUUCACCCGAACUUGAUUUUGACACUAAAAUGUGGAGCAGAGCCCAUUUGCUGGGCUAUGAAUAUGUAUUAUUUUUUUUUAAUAGCGUCUGUAGACAACUAAGGCAUGAAUGAAGGCAAUCAGGAAACAUGAUGAAGUGGUAACUUAAUAAAAACCAGACUAUCGCUUUCAUGCUGGAAA